CAUCUCUGUUUUAGUGAUUCACUAUAGUGAAGGCUCAGGUUUACCCAUACAUCUCUGUUUUAGUGAUUCACUAUAGUGAAGGCUCAGGUUUACCCAUACAUCUCUGUUUUAGUGAUUCACCAUAGUGAAGGCUCAGGUUUACCCAUACAUCUCUGGUUUAGUGAUUCACUAUAGUGAAGGCUCAGGUUUACCCAUACAUCUCUGUUUUAGUGAUUCACUAUAGUGAAGGCUCAGGUUUACCCAUACAUCUCUGUUUUAGUGAUUCACUAUAGUGAAGGCUCAGGUUUACCCAUACAUCUCUGUUUUAGUGAUUCACUAUAGUGAAGGCUCAGGUUUACCCAUACAUCUCUGUUUUAGUGAUUCACUAUAGUGAAGGCUCAGGUUUACCCAUACAUCUCUGUUUUAGUGAUUCACUAUAGUGAAGGCUCAGGUUUACCCAUACAUCUCUGUUUUAGUGAUUCACUAUAGUGAAGGCUCAGGUUUACCCAUACAUCUCUGUUUUAGUGAUUCACUAUAGUGAAGGCUCAGGUUUACCCAUACAUCUCUGUUUUAGUGAUUCACUAUAGUGAAGGCUCAGGUUUACCCAUACAUCUCUGUUUUAGUGAUUCACUAUAGUGAAGGCUCAGGUUUACCCAUACAUCUCUGUUUUAGUGAUUCACUAUAGUGAAGGCUCAGGUUUACCCAUACAUCUCUGUUUUAGUGAUUCACUAUAGUGAAGGCUCAGGUUUACCCAUACAUCUCUGUUUUAGUGAUUCACUAUAGUGAAGGCUCAGGUU